UACGGGGGGGGCAAGCGUUGUUCGGAAUUACUGGGCGUAAAGGGUUCGUAGGUGGCCAACUAAGUCAUACGUGAAAUCUCUCAGCUUAACUGGGGAACUGCGUCUGAUACUGGUUGGCUUGAGUGCAGGAGAGGAACGCGGAAUUCCAGGUGUAGCGGUGAAAUGCGUAGAUAUCUGGAGGAACACCGGUGGCGAAGGCGGCGUUCUGGACUGCAACUGACACUGAGGAACGAAAGCCAGGGGAGCAAACGGG
rnacentral:rRNA from 1 species